UACGUAGGGAGCAAGCGUUGUCCGGAAUCAUUGGGACGUAAAGAGCUCGUAGGCGGCUUGUCGCGUCGUCCGUGAAAACCCACAGACUCAACUGUGGGCUUGCGGUCGAUACGGGCAGGCUAGAGUUCGGUAGGGGAGACUGGAAUUCCUGGUGGUAGCGGUGAAAUGACGCAGAAUAUCAGGAGGGAACACCGGUGGCGAAGGCGGGUCUCUGGGCCGAUACUGACGCUGAGGAGCGAAAAGCGUGGGGGAGCGAAACAGG
rnacentral:rRNA from 1 species